rnacentral:rRNA from 1 species
UAAUACGGAGGGUGCGAGCGUUGUUCGGAAUUACUGGGCGUAAAGCGGGUGUAGGCGGUUUGUUAAGUCAGAUGUGAAAGCCCACGGCUCAACCGUGGAAGUGCAUCUGAAACUGGCAGACUUGAGUACCGGAGAGGGAAGUGGAAUUCCUGGUGUAGGGGUGAAAUCCGUAGAUAUCAGGAGGAACACCGGUGGCGAAGGCGACUUCCUGGACGGAUACUGACGCUGAGAUCCGAAAGCGUGGGGAGCAAACAGGAUUAGAUACCCUGGUAGUCCACGCCCUAAACGAUGGGCACUAGGUGCAGGGGGUGUUGACCCCUCCUGUGCCGCAGCUAACGCAUUAAGUGCCCCGCCUGGGGAGUACGGCCGCAAGGCUG